rnacentral:rRNA from 1 species
CCUACGGGGCGCAGCAGUGGGGAAUAUUGCACAAUGGGCGAAAGCCUGAUGCAGCAACGCCGCGUGAAGGAAGAAGGUCUUCGGAUCGUAAACUUCUGUCCUUGGGGAAGAUAAUGACGGUACCCUUGGAGGAAGCCCCGGCUAACUACGUGCCAGCAGCCGCGGUAAUACGUAGGGGGCAAGCGUUAUCCGGAAUUAUUGGGCGUAAAGAGUGCGUAGGCGGGUGGUCAAGUCAGAUGUGAAAUCCUGUAGCUUAACUACAGAACUGCAUUUGAAACUGAUCAUCUAGAGUAUGGGAGAGGUAG